AGUGAACGCUGGCGGUAGGCCUAACACAUGCAAGUCGAACGGCAGCACAGUAAGAGCUUGCUCUUACGGGUGGCGAGUGGCGGACGGGUGAGGAAUACAUCGGAAUCUACUUUUUCGUGGGGGAUAACGUAGGGAAACUUACGCUAAUACCGCAUACGACCUACGGGUGAAAGCAGGGGAUCUUCGGACCUUGCGCGAUUGAAUGAGCCGAUGUCGGAUUAGCUAGUUGGCGGGGUAAAGGCCCACCAAGGCGACGAUCCGUAGCUGGUCUGAGAGGAUGAUCAGCCACACUGGAACUGAGACACGGUCCAGACUCCUACGGGAGGCAGCAGUGGGGAAUAUUGGACAAUGGGCGCAAGCCUGAUCCAGCCAUACCGCGUGGGUGAAGAAGGCCUUCGGGUUGUAAAGCCCUUUUGUUGGGAAAGAAAGCCAGCCGGCUAAUACCUGGUUGGGAUGACGGUACCCAAAGAAUAAGCACCGGCUAACUUCGUG
rnacentral:rRNA from 1 species